rnacentral:rRNA from 1 species
UGCGGGCGACAAGGUCCGUAGUCGAGAGGGAAACAGCCCGGACCGCCGGCCAAGGCCCCAAAGCCAUGCUGAGUGUGAAAUGAGGUGCGGAUGCGCAGACAGCCAGGAGGUUGGCUCAGAAGCAGCCAUUCCUUGAAAGAGUGCGUAACAGCUCACUGGUCGAGCAUCCGCGCGCAGACAAUGUAGCGGGGCUAAGCAUGGCGCCGAAGCCGCGGAUUCGCGCCUUAUGGCGCGACUGGUAGGGGAGCAUUCCGCUGACCCAUGAAGGCGCGCCCGCGAGGGGCGCUGGAGGAGGCGGAAGAGAGAAUGCAGGCAUAAGUAACGAAAAGACGGGUGCGAUCCCCGUCCGCCGGAAGCCCGAGGUUUCCAGGGUAAAGGCAAUCUGCCCUGGGUAAGCCGGCCCCUAAGGCGAGGGCGAAAGCCGUAGCCGAUGGGAAAUCGGUCCAUAGUCCGAUGCUUCCCCAUGUUUCGAGGGCAGGACGCAUGAGGCGAGGCCAGGCCGGAGAACGGUAGUUCCGGCCGGAGCGGCGAGGCGUCGAGGGCGGCAGGCAAAUCCACCGCCCGAGCCGAGCCGUGAGCGAGCGGAGAGAAAGUCGAAGCGAAGCUGGCGCAGCCAUGGUGCCGGGAAAUACUGUCUAAGGCCAGGCAUGGGGGAACCGUACCGCAAACCGACACAGGUGGGCAGGAUGAGAAAUCCGAGGCGCACGAGCGACCUCGCGUUAAGGAACUCGGCAAAAUGCGCACGUAACUUCGGGAGAAGUGCGGCUCAUGUUAGAGAUGAUAAUGAGCGGCAGAAAGCAGGCCCAGGCGACUGUUUAUCAAAAACACAGCCAUCUGCGAACCAGCGAUG